CCGUGCAGCCGGGGAGUUAGCGGUGCCCUGUACCUGCAAUCCGCUCUAGCAGGGGUGAUGUUUUGCCGCGGAUAUAUCUUGUAGGGCUGCCCUUUACAAGUGGCGAUGACGUUUAGGUCUUACGCAACAGGAAUUUAUGAAUCGUGUCAGGUCAGGAAUGAAGCAGCACUAAGUAAAACCUUCUGUGUGCCGUAAGGUAGCCUGGACUGAGUUAACUAUAGAGGUAACGCUUAUGAUCUGUAUACAAAGCAAAACGCACGG
rfam:Eubacterium sp. CAG:603 genomic scaffold, scf11